UGCGUAGGCGGAUUGGCAAGUCAGAAGUGAAAUCCAUGGGCUUAACCCAUGAACUGCUUUUGAAACUGUUAGUCUUGAGUGAAGUAGAGGUAGGCGGAAUUCCCGGUGUAACGGUGGAAUGUGUAGAUAUCGGGAAGAACACCAAUGGCGAAGGCAGGUCUCUGGGCCGUUACUGACGCUGAGGAGCGAAAGCGUGGGGAGCGAACA
rnacentral:rRNA from 1 species